GUCAACUUUACGUCUGUGUCGUCCACACGGCGUUUCUCCUUUCCCGCCUCCCGGAGGACACGGUUACGUGGUGAUCUCGGCACAAGGCGGUUCCACCCUUCAUGCGCUCGGUGCUACUUGGUGAGCGAGCGUGAAGUUUCAUGCUCCUCCAACCGCUUUACCUUCCACGUCCCACAUUAAUACUUGAGCAACAAACAACUGUCCUACGUUGGAUCUGCGUCACCAGGUGAUCGAAAACCAUCUUUACACAGGGAGCGAAGGGUGACUCAACCAGCUGAUUAUGAAGCACCUAAGAACGCACGACAUGGAAAUACCUCUGCUUUUCAAUUACCAGGACUCCAACACACCCCAACUGCACCGACCUAAGACGGAGCAAACCAGUCCGUCCACUCCACAAACAGCCAAGCCUCCAACAACCCGCCGUGAACACGGCCAACCGGCUCCAGAGGAACAAAGCGUCACCCGGCUGGUAACUGUGAUGUAAUGAAUACAAUUCCUACACAUUAUCAAGCGCUGGUCACAGAACACGUACACUCACAUGCGGCGUGAUGUCACCUCACACUGGCAUGACGUGUUCUGAAAGAAACACAUACUGUACCACACCUCAGUGAAACGUGUAGGAACAGAUUCUUAGAAGCACAUCACGUGGCCUCAGGUUCAAG
ensembl:lncRNA